ACGGGCUAUAGCUUGCUAUAGUUGUCAGCUAAGUGGCGCACGGGUGAGUAAUGUAUAGGUAAUAUGCCUCUUACUAAGGGAUAACAAAUGGAAACGUUUGCUAAUACCUUAUACUCCUUAUUAACAGAAGUUAAUAAGGGAAAGAUUUAUUGGUAAGAGAUUAGCCUGUAUUGUAUCAGUUAGUUGGUGGGGUAAUGGCUUACCAAGACUAUGACACAUAACUGGUUUGAGAGGAUGAUCAGUCACACUGGAACUGAGACACGGUCCAGACUCCUACGGGAGGCAGCAGUGGGGAAUAUUGCACAAUGGACGAAAGUCUGAUGCAGCAACGCCGCGUGGAGGAUGACACAUUUCGGUGCGUAAACUCCUUUUAUAUAAGAAGAUAAUGACGGUAUUAUAUGAAUAAGCACCGGCUAACUCCGUGCCAGCAGCCGCGGUAAUACGGGGGGUGCAAGCGUUACUCGGAAUCACUGGGCGUAAAGAGCAUGUAGGCGGAUUAAUAAGUUUGAAGUGAAAUCCUAUAGCUUAACUAUAGAACUGCUUUGAAAACUGUUGAUCUAGAAUGUGGGAGAGGUAGAUGGAAUUUCUGGUGUAGGGGUAAAAUCCGUAGAGAUCAGAAGGAAUACCGAUUGCGAAGGCGAUUUACUGGAACACAAUUGACGCUGAGAUGCGAAAGCGUGGGGAGCAAACAGGAUUAGAUACCCUGGUAGUCCACGCCCUAAACGAUGUACACUAGUUGUUGUGAGACUAGAUCUUGCAGUAAUGCAGUUAACACAUUAAGUGUACCGCCUGGGGAGUACGGUCGCAAGAUUAAAACUCAAAGGAAUAGACGGGGACCCGCACAAGCGGUGGAGCAUGUGGUUUAAUUCGACGAUACACGAAGAACCUUACCUGGACUUGACAUAGUAAGAACUUUCUAGAGAUAGAUUGGUGUCUGCUUGCAGAAACUUAUAUACAGGUGCUGCACGGCUGUCGUC
rnacentral:rRNA from 2 species